ensembl:lncRNA
CCGGGCCAGAGCGGACGAGGCCGGCCUGUUUGCGUGCUAACGCGGAGACGGAAACGGGGAUGAAUAAUUGAAAAGUGGUGCCAGUUGCAGAGAGGUACUCCAGAACAUUCCUUCCCUCUUGUCUCUGUUUUCCAGGCUCACUCUGUUGCCCUCAGUUCAGGACAGCAGCAGAUACGGUCUGUUAUUACUGGGAUAUGCUUUGAAAAAAGACCGCAAAAAAGAAACGCUUUUGUGUAUCUCCUCCAAUCAAGGAUCAAGGUUCCGUGGCAUCACAAGAGCUGAAUCAUGCUGUGUUUUGGCUUGCUGCUCGUUUCCCUAGCGACCCAGCUGCAAGGUCUGGAGAUCCUGGAUCCCCGGGAGGUGGAGUACAUCCACCUGCAGGUCAACGGCACCGCAGGGGGCUCCGUCACCUUGGACUGCGGCCCCACCCUACCUACCAUCUACGUCUGGGCCUUCACCGCCGCGGGGUCCGAAGGCAGCUCGGCGCUGGCCUACAACUACGGCCACGGCGCCAAACUCCAGCCACGGUCUCUUCGCUCCGCGAGGAUGAGCAUUCCCCUCAACUCCACCACCCUGGUGCUGACGGAGGUGCAGGUGGAGGCCCAGGGCACCUACACCUGCCAGGCACUGUAUGACGUCGAGGACGGGGCCCGCGUCACCUUCUACAUCACCCGGCUGGCCGUGGAGGAAGAGGAGGACUGAUGGAGAGGAAGAACGCCAGGGUGCAUCACUUCCUGUGUCCGAUGUGUGUGUGUGUGUGUGUGUGUGUGUGUGCGUGUGUGUGUGUGUGUGUGUGUGUGUGUGUGUGUGUGUGUGUGUGUGUGUGUGUGUGUGUGUGUGUUGAAAAAAAUAAAUAAUAAUAAUAACUUAUUUUUUUUAUAACCAAAAAUUUCACCGCAGCAUAAUCAUUACUACCGAUUUUUUUCGCACUUUAUUCUGUUUUGGGCAUUUCUUCCCAGUGCAAAUAUGUUUAAAUGUGUUACUGAAAGCAGUGUUCUGAAAUGGGAUCAAUUAAUAGUAUGUAACCUAAACCUAUGUAGUGAGUAAUAGAGAAGAAUAUAUUUAAAAUAUUGUUGCAAGUGGCCUGUAUGCAUGGCCUUCACAUGGUUUUGCAAAGCUUUACAUGUCUUAAAGAUAUGAUGUUGAUGGUUCCAACAUUCUCAUAUAUUCUCGUUUUUUACAUUUCUCAACGUGCAAAUAUGUUUUUGAAUCAGUUUCUGAAAGUGGUGUUUUAAGAUGGGACACAUGUAAUUAUAAUUUGUAAUCCCAUGUUGCAAAUAUAACAAGAUUUUUUUUUUUAUAAAACUCCAGGUCUUCUGGAAAUGUUUUUGGUCGCUGUGUCAUAAUUCAGCUUAAUAUUUAAUAUAGUGUUGCUUAAGGCACACUCAAAAACAAAAAAAAUUCAAACUGGCACUGCAUGUUGAAAAGGUUGCUGGCCCCUGGUGUAGACUGUCUGCGAGUUAUGUAUUCCAAUGUAUUCUGAUAUCAUGUAAUUAAAGUUAUUAUGACAGGGUGUGGGUGUGUGUGAGUGUGUGUGGAUGUCACUGAAAGCAACAUUUUCUUUUGUCUAGGCUGUGGUUUUGUUUCUUUUGGGUUGCCGUGUGAGAAAAUAGUAUCGUCUUGAUUAUGGUCUGUUUUAGAUUGAAGUCAUGUUGACGGUGGUUUAUCAAGACCAUGCUGUUUCUGACCUUAACAAAAGUUUUGCUUCAAUACUCAAUCUGAAAUAUUUAUUCAAAAUGUGAAAUGGUUGUCAGGUUUUCCAUCAUUCCUUAUACAAAACAAUUCCAAAAACAUCCAGCGAACAAGGCUGAAUACGACUAUUAUAAUUUAUUUAUUAAAAGCAGUUUGACAGAUAUUUGAAUGAUAAAGUGUGAGUUGCUGGAGGCCAGGCGCUCCUAGGACCCAAGGUAAACCAGACUGCGGUGAUUCUUUUAACAUGAACGCUACUUCAAAUCCAAAAGGGAAAAUAUGCCUGCUCACAAAGCCAUCCAUGGAACCUAAACACACCAUUGCACAUGGCAGGGAACGGAGUUACUAAAGAGCUGAUGAUGAAUAGAGCUGUCUAAGAAGUUAUGUUUGAAACUGGUUUAAGCCUUCGUGCCUGUGUGUGGCCUUGGGGAUCAAUAUGCAAAUACGGUUUCCAAGCUGUCCAUAAUGGACUGACCACAUUUCCGAUUUGGAGGCCAUGAAAUAAUUAAACGUAUUGUCCAUAGAGAGACGAGAAGGAAAGGCUUAACCCUGCACAGCCGCACAAUGAGCAGAUUUUACCGGAAUUACAAGCUAUUGCUGCUCAAAUAAACAGUUCUUGGGCUAUGUGACACGUACGAGGACGCGUGGGUGCGUAUCACGUACGCACUUACACGCACAACAACAACACCCACUCGACCUCCCUCAGGUGAAGAAAGAGAAUGAUCCCUGAUUGGUCGACACGUGUGUUACCAUGCCGACGAGGAGCCCCGAUCAUUAGCAGGGGGGGCUCCCAGAGAACGGCGCUGGGAGCGGGAACAUGGGAACGCUACAGCGCUGCGUGAGUGGCCCUCUGUUAGGCUGGUUAACAGUCCACUGAUCCACUACAUUCACAGUCUUUCACCGAUGCCCUGAGGGAGUCUGAGGAGGAGGAGGUGAUGGAGGAGAAGGGGGAGGAGGGGGAGGAGGGGGUGGAAGGUGGGGAUGCCGGUGGUGGUUAAGGAAUAAUGGAGGAGAGAGGAGGGCUGGGCUGGUGUUAACAGGUCGUCUCUGCAGUUAAAGGGGAAGGAAUGCCAGCGGGGACAAUGACCUUGCUUGUUCCCAUGGGCUCCCCUAACGAAGGGGGCGUCUCGGCACGGGUGGAGCAGAGGGUGCACGGCCAGGGGGGGGGGGGGGAUUGAGUGGGGAGUGCAGGGCAGGACAGAGGGUGGAGGAUGUAGUGUGGAUGAAGGGUAAGGUGGAGGGUGGAGGAUGUAGUCUGUAAGGUAUAGAGUGUAGGUGUAGGCUGUUAGGUGUAAGGUAUAGAGUGUAGGCUACAUGAUGUAGGGUAUGAGGUGCACAGUUUAGUGCAGGUCGUAGGAUGUAGGGAGUAUGAUGAAGUGUGCUGCAUGUUAGGUGCAACGUGUAGGCAUAAGGAUGUAGGGCUGAAGGUGUACAUUAUAGUACAGGAUCUAUGUUUUAGCCUAUUGGCCGUUGGAUGUAGGAUAUAGGAUAUAUUCUGUAGGACGCAAGGUGCAGGGUUAAGGUGGAGGGUGAAGGAUAUAGGAUGUAGUACGUAAGAUACAGGAUACAGUGUGAAGAAUGUAUAAUAAAUAGUGUGUAGGAUGCUAGGUGUAAGGUGUAGGGCGAAGGCUAUAGGAUGCAGUGCGCAGGACGCAGGAUGUAGUGGGUAGGACGGUAGUUCCAGGACUGAGGCUGCAUGGCUCAGUGGAGGCACGGCGCCGGCCCUCUGACGUGGGAGACAGAGAGCUAGCCAGCAUCUGUCAGCAUCUUCUCUCUCGCUAACUCUCUCCCAUUCUUUCUAACUCCGUCCCUAGGCUAUUUCUCUUUCAAUGCCAGCUUCAUUUCCUUCCCAUUGUCCUCCUCCUCCUCCCCUUGUGUUCCUGAUGUCGGGUCGCUGGGGGCCCGGCCAGCACCGCACUCUGACUCACUGGUAGACAUUCCUGCGACCCCCGGACAAGUCUGCCUCAUAGGUCGCUGAAAGACAACUUCGAAGGGAUUAGCCCGCCAAACAAUGGCUUCUCAGUGUCCUAAUGUCUAAUGUUUUGGAAAUCAGGGCCCCGGCCUCAGUCAUGUAAAUACACAACACCACAAAGAGAGAACAGGGCCGACGUGUUCCUGAGAGCCUUUCGGACGGACUCCUCCGCAGCCUGGGAAACAGCGGAGGUUAGCGCCGAGCGGGCAGCCAAACACGGUUAGCUUCGACAGACAAGCAGUCUGCCUCCCCGCUAAGAAUAACAGACGGAAGAGCGGGUCCCGCGGCCGAGCUGUGGGCAGGCGGCGGGCAGGGCGCUGCCAGGAAUAUCCCUGCGGACCAGAGAGGGAGG